rnacentral:rRNA from 1 species
AGCGAACGCUGGCGGCAGGCCUAACACACGCAAGUCGAGCGCCCCGCAAGGGGAGCGGCAGACGGGAGAGUAACACGUGGGAACGUACCCUUCGGUUCGGAACAACCCAGGGAAACUUGGGCUAAUACCGGAUACGUCCGAAAGGAGAAAGAUUCAUCGCCGAAGGAUCGGCCCGCGUCUGAUUAGCUAGUUGGUGGGGUAAUGGCCCACCAAGGCGACGAUCAGUAGCUGGUCUGAGAGGAUGAUCAGCCUCACUGGGACUGAGACACGGCCCAGACUCCUACGGGAGGCAGCAGUGGGGAAUAUUGGACAAUGGGCGCAAGCCUGAUCCAGCCAUGCCGCGUGGGUGAUGAAGGCCCUAGGGUUGUAAAGCCCUUUCGGCGGGGAAGAUAAUGACGGUACCCGCAGAAGAAGCCCCGGCUAACUUCGUGCCAGCAGCCGCCGUAAGAC